UCUUGCAAACUAAAGAUGGCGACCGGCGCACGGGUGAGUAACACGUAUCCAACCUGCCGAUAACUCGGGGAUAGCCUUUCGAAAGAAAGAUUAAUAUCCGAUGGUAUAUUAAAACCGCAUGGUUUUACUAUUAAAGAAUUUCGGUUAUCGAUGGGGAUGCGUUCCAUUAGUUUGUUGGCGGGGUAACGGCCCACUAAGACUACGAUGGAUAGGGGUUCUGAGAGGAAGGUCCCCCACAUUGGAACUGAGACACGGUCCAA
rnacentral:rRNA from 1 species